GAUGAACGCUGGCGGCGUGCCUAAUACAUGCAAGUCGAGCGAACAGACGAGGAGCUUGCUCCUCUGACGUUAGCGGCGGACGGGUGAGUAACACGUGGAUAACCUACCUAUAAGACUGGGAUAACUUCGGGAAACCGGAGCUAAUACCGGAUAAUAUAUUGAACCGCAUGGUUCAAUAGUGAAAGACGGUUUUGCUGUCACUUAGAGAUGGAUCCGCGCCGCAUUAGCUAGUUGGUAAGGUAACGGCUUACCAAGGCAACGAUGCGUAGCCGACCUGAGAGGGUGAUCGGCCACACUGGAACUGAGACACGGUCCAGACUCCUACGGUAGGCAGCAGUAGGGAAUCUUCCGCAAUGGGCGAAAGCCUGACGGAGCAACGCCGCGUGAGUGAUGAAGGUCUUCGGAUCGUAAAACUCUGUUAUUAGGGAAGAACAAAUGUGUAAGUAACUAUGCACGUCUUGACGGUACCUAAUCAGAAAGCCACGGCUAACUACGUG
rnacentral:rRNA from 1 species